UUCAACCCAGGCCAUUCUAUGAUACUAUGAUUCUAUACUAAAAUAAACAGGGAUAUGAAUUGGUAACAUUUUUGACGCAGCCUAUAGAUUUUCCAUGUUAGAGAGGAGAUUUAACUAUGGAGAGUUUAUCCUGUUCCUGAUAGGACAAGAGAGUCUCUCUGCAAGUAAGAAGUCAGUAGAGACAUUACAGUUAGCAUCAGCCAUGAUUCACCUUUACCUAAAUUUUCCUGUCACCAGAUAAGGUCACAAUAAACUACUUCUUGGCCAGUCCAAAGUGUUCUGUUUGUCUUGGAACACACGCUGCUUUUAAUCCCUGAUCUUAUUAUAGCAAGUUCGCACACGUAGACUGAAGUAACCAGAAUUACAUAAUACUGGCCUGAUAAUUUCCUACAGAAGCACCAAGGAAACGCACCCAUUAAGAAUGAGCAAUGCACAUCAUCUCAUCGUCAGAGCAAAUUAAAUACCAGGACGAACGUGUAAUGGCAAUAUUUUGUGUAGCACAGCCAGAACAAAAAUACGAUUGUGUCACCCUUGCCUAAUCUUCCCAGGACAAGCAGCAAUCUUCUCUAAUGCAAGCCCCAUGCGUGCGAUGAUGACUCAAGUCUGGCAGCGCUUGCACAGCAAGUUCGACUUUCACCUGUGACGAACAGCAAGGCUGAACAGAUUAAUGAGCCCAUCUCCGGGCUGCCUGCUCAUUGGUGUUGCCUGCACAUGAGCACUAGCCCACAGGGUCCCUCACCACUCUUCCUCCCCUGGAGUGCAUGCAGGAAGAGAUGCAAUCGACCUCUUCAAAGUGGAGGAGAAGAGACUGAAAUGAGGAAAGAACUCAGUUGCCUAAAGAUCAGUAUCUAGCACUCUAGAAGACAAAAACACAGAGAUAGACCUGCAGGAGGACCCACUCCCUUCCAAAAAAAGCUGAUUUUGGACAGAAACUGCCUAUGCUAUGCCAAUACCAUCCAAAAAAGAACAGGAGCUACUGCUGAUAUACAACACACCUGAAGCAUGCUGAAAGGUCAGAUGUUAAGCUGUCAAAAAUUACCUACCAUGUUGUACAUUAGCCCAAUUUCUCUGGAAUUUCAAAGGCAUCAGAAAUAGAACAUAGCAGGAUAUCAAACUUCAGAGAAUACUUAUCAGCAGGUUGAUGCUUGCCUAAAUAAAACAUCUACAUCCAACUUAGGCUUGGCAUUAUUCUGAAUGUGUUCUGAUAAAAUUUUUGUUUUACCACACAUUCAGUUGAAACUGUCCAUAGAUAUAAGCAGAUACGUGUUUUGCUUAUUCUGUAGUGAUCAUUCUUGGUGAACAGGGAAAUGCAGAGCAGAAAUAAAAAAAAAGAACACAACAAACAAAACAAGCAAUGAUUUACUGAAAUGAAAAGCAGUAAUUUGCAGCAAUUAGACCACAUUUUGUGCCUGAGAAUCAUCCCCAAACAGAUGCAGACAAACCUGUUUAAACUUGAGGAAAAUAAACUGUGAAACACAAUGACAAAGACCUUUGCAGGAAUAAACACAGUCCUAGCUGUGGCACCCUCUAAAUUAUUAAGAGCAAGUCUUAAGAGUAGAGCGGGGAAAAAAUCAGAUUCAGAGAUACUGCCAUCACAAACAUUUUUGUAGUUAUCUACAACAGACAAUUUUCAGGGUUUAUUUCAGUAUUAAGAGCUGUAUGCAAGCCAGCAUCACCCAGGAUAGGGAAUAUGAGCCCGAUAGAUAGACUCUCUCACUCUUAAUCUGCCUGGUUCUCUCUGCAUUCAUCAUGACCGUGUCCAACAUAAAUGCUUGCACAAGGCUGAAAAUGAAUGGGGAAAAAAACUCAUGGGUAAUACUAAGGAGUCAGUUAGGGCCAGAGCAGAGGGAUGAAUCGUCUUUCGUUACUCUUGAGGAAAUGGGAUGUUAUAAUUAAUGGUAAAAACGGCAUCUAUUUCAUGCAUAUAACAUGAACGCUAAGGGAACCAAGACACUUUUGACAAAUUGGACAUCACAUAUAACAUGCUUAUUAAUUCAUACAUUAAAAAUACAUUCUGUUACACCAUC
rnacentral:lncRNA from 7 species